GGGUAUUUAUAGAUUUUAAGAAGGGUUAAUAUUAUAAUUUAAUAAAUACAAAAAAAUAAAAAAUGGCCAUUUUUGCAAAGAAAUCUGUUGGCCAACGGAUCUGUAGCCGUUGCCAACGGAUAUGCUGGCCCCAGCAAUUUAAAAUUAAAAAAAAUUAAAAAAAAAUGUUACCAUUGAACUGGGCCGGUCCGGUCGGGGCUGUACUGGUUCACGAUACUGUUCACCAUACCGGGCCGGUCCGGUCCGGUUCCGAAACAAAAAUAUUUUAACGGAACAAACCGCUACCCCCUUUUAACCCAGUCCAGCCUGGCCCCCACCUACCAGUCCAGUCUGGUCCGGUCCCGGGUCAACCUGGCCUGGUUGACAGCUCUACAUGAGAUUGCCACUUUUGGUAAUUAUGUGUUUACUACCAUUUCCAUGGAGUUUUUAGUUGGCAAUUAUGUGCUCAAUUCCAUGUGGGUUUUUGGUCUUUUUGGUUAUUGUCAACAUUCUAUCUACUCCGAUUGAAAGAAAAUGAAGAGGAAGAAGAACAGUGAAGAAGAGAGAGAAGAGAGAAAGAAAGGAACUGAAAAAUGAAAAAUGCAGUAAUGAAUAAUGUGUAGAACCUUCCGUCAAUGUUCAGCCUAUAUCAAAGAAUAUCUAAUGUGGGUGUGUGUAAUUACAUGUGUACCCCUGUAACCUAUACAAAAUUGUACAUACAAAUUAAAUAACUAAUGCCCUUGGGCUGCUGCUAGUUUGGGCCGGUAGCUGCCUUGGGCUGAUGCUGAUGCUCACUAAUGUGCUGAAGCCCAACACUCCCCUUCAAGCUGGAGGGUGAACAAACACCCAGCUUGGACAAGAAUUGAUGAUGCAAAAUACC
rnacentral:lncRNA from 1 species